UGUGGACUCCACGGGUUGUUGAUUAGGAUGCUUAACCUCUCCAAGCCUCAGUGGCCUCAUCUGCACAAGGGGGAUGACAACAGCCCUCACCUUAUAAACCUGGGAGGAUUCGGCGGACUGCUCCGCCUCCAGGUCUCAGUUGCGGCAUGCUGGAUCUUUAGUUGAGGUGUGUGGGAUCUAGUUCCCUGACCAGGGAUGGAACCUGGGUCCCUGGAAUUGGGAGUGUGGAGUCUUAGCCUCUGGACCAGGGAAGUCCCAAGACUAAGUAUUUCCUGAGUGCAGGUUCGCUUCUCCACUCCCCAAACUGCUGAGUGGCAUGAAGUCACAGGGAGGCCUGGCUUCCUCCUCCUUUCCAGUCUCCUGCGAGUGAGCUCAGAUGGCCCCGAGCCCCUUUCGCCCUCCUUUCAGAUGAGGAAUAUCUGCUGGGUUUGAGGGUGCGGCAGGAAGACUGCAUCCACAUUGCUACCCAGUGUCGCAGAAGGAAGGGGGGUGUCCACGGAGGUCCGCUGGACGGAGUGCUUGCUUCAGCUGCCUGGGGGGCCCGAGAUGGUUCUCUGCAGCCCAUGUGUCCUUCAGCGCACACACACUUGGGUCAAAGUGCAGGUAGCCAAUGACCAUGCGCUAUCUCCUGGUCUUUCCCAUGACUCCACGUGUCACUCCUGCAAAUGGAGACAUUUCCAGCCUCAGUCUGAGUUUCUGGUGGUUUUUGCUGGCGGGGAUUCUGAAUGCAGAGCCCGUC
ensembl:lncRNA